AUCGUCUUUGUUGGUGUUAAGCUCAACUCUCUCUCUCUCUGGCAGAUUGGUUUAAACUUUAAACCCUAAACCCUGCGCUUCAAGAUUUUCCGGUGAAGGGCAGACACAGUGUUAGAUUGGGCAUGCUUUUGUGAAGAUGCUCCUAAGAAAACAAGGAAUACGCCAUUUUCAUUUGAACUGCUGUAACAUUUACACUUUUUCAAAAAGGUUUUCAUCCUUGCCAAAUGGGCCUUCUUCUGAACAUGAUAGGAAAGUUGUUUCCUCCAUGGAUAGGGUUAGUUGCGAUAAUUCGAGAAAAGUUGAGGGUGUGAGACAAGUAGUUGAUGAUGUGUGCCAAGUAUUGGAGGGCCGUCCUUGGGGACCUACCCUUGAGAAUGCUUUAUCAAUGCUUGACAACAAACCUCAAUCAGAAUCAGUUAUUGGAGUCUUAAGGAGACUGAAAGAUGUAGGUCUAGCAUUUAAUUAUUUUCGGUGGUGUGAGAGACAAACUGACCAAGCACAUUGUCCCGAAGCAUACAAUUCACUUCUCAUGGUCAUGGCUAGGAGUAGAAAUUUUAAUUUCUUGGAACAGGUCCUGGAAGAAAUGAGUAUUGCAGGAAUUGGCCCAUUUAAUAACGUAUGUAUUGAGUUAGUUGUGAGCUGUGUCAAGUCACAGAAGCUGAGAGAAGCUUUCAAUCUAUUGCAAACCAUGAGGAAGUUCAAAUUCCGCCCAGCAUUUUCAGCCUAUACAACUCUAAUUGGAGCUUUGUCUACAGUUCCUGAAUCUGAUCUCAUGCUGACUCUCUUUCAUCAAAUGCAGGAGAUAGGUUAUGAAGUUACUGUGCAUUUAUUUACAACUAUUAUUCGUGUAUUUGCCAAGGAAGGCCGAGUUGAUGCUGCUCUCUCCUUGUUGGAUGAGAUGAAGAGCAACUCUUUUAAUGCGGAUGUUGUUCUUUAUAACGUCUGUAUAGACUGCUUUGGUAAAGUCGGUAAGGUGGAUAUGGCCUGGAAAUUCUUUCAUGAAAUGAGAAUGCAUGGCAUGGUGCCUGAUGAUGUGACAUAUACUAGCAUGAUAGGAGUUCUCUGCAAAGCUGAGAGACUAGGUGAAGCGGUGGAGUUAUUUGAGGAGAUGGAUGUGAAUAGGAAAGUACCUUGUGUGUAUGCGUAUAACACCAUGAUCAUGGGCUAUGGUUCUGCUGGAAGGUUUGAGGAAGCAUACAGCUUAUUUGAGAGGCAAAAAAGAAAGGGGUGCAUUCCGAGUGUGAUUGCAUAUAAUUGUGUUCUCACUUGCCUAGGGAAGAAGGGAAGAGUAGAAGAAGCGUUAAGGAUUUUUGAUGAGAUGAAGAAAGAUGCAGCUCCCAAUCUUCCAACUUAUAACAUUCUAAUAGACAUGCUUUGCAAGGCAGGUAACCUCGAGGCUGCUCUGCGUGUUCGGGAUGCCAUGAAAGAAGCUGGUUUAUAUCCUAAUGUUAUGACUGUAAACAUUAUGAUUGAUCGACUCUGUAAAGCUCAGAAACUUGAUGAUGCUUGUUCUAUCUUUGAAGGAAUGGAUCACAAAGUUUGCACACCAGAUGCAGUUACGUUUUGUUCUCUUAUAGAUGGCUUGGGUAAACAAGGAAAGGUAGAUAAUGCCUACAGGCUUUAUGAGAAGAUGCUGGAUUCUGAUCAGAUUCCAAAUGCUAUUGUAUAUACAUCCCUCAUCAGGAACUUCUUCAGGUGUGGUAGAAAGGAGGAUGGUCACAAAAUAUACAAAGAAAUGGUGCGUAGGGGCUGUUCUCCUGAUCUGAUGCUUCUUAACACCUAUAUGGAUUGUGUUUUCAAGGCUGGUGAAAUUGACAAAGGUAGAUUUUUGUUUGAGGAGAUAAAGGCUCAAGGAUUCAUUCCGGAUGUGCGGAGCUAUUCAAUCUUAAUUCAUGGCCUUGUAAAAGCAUGUUUGGCGCAUGAAACCUAUGAAUUAUUUCAUGCGAUGAAGGAUCAAGGCUGUGUAUUGGACACCCGUGCUUACAAUGCCAUCAUUGAUGGAUUCUGCAAAUGUGGAAAGGUGAAUAAAGCAUACCAGCUGCUGGAGGAAAUGAAAACUAAGGGUCACCAGCCCACAGUUGUUACUUAUGGUUCUGUCAUUGACGGGCUUGCCAAGAUUGACAGACUUGAUGAAGCAUACAUGCUUUUUGAAGAAGCAAAGUCAAAAGGAGUAGAAUUGAAUGUAAUUAUUUAUAGUAGUCUUGUUGAUGGGUUUGGGAAGGUGGGUAGAAUUGAUGAAGCAUAUCUAAUCAUGGAAGAGCUAAUGCAGAAGGGUUUGGCACCUAAUGUUUACACAUAUAAUUGCUUGCUUGAUGCACUUGUGAAAGCUGGUGAAAUUGAUGAAGCCAUUGUUUGCUUUCAAUCCAUGAAAGACUUGAAAUGUACACCCAACCAUGUAACUUAUAGCAUUCUCAUAAAUGGUCUUUGUAGAGUUAGAAAAUUCAAUAAGGCUUUUGUGUACUGGCAAGAGAUGAAGAAACAAGGGUUACAGCCCAACACAAUUACCUACACCACCAUGAUAUCCGGACUUGCAAAGGCUGGGAACAUAAGAGAUGCUAGUGGGCUUUUUGAGAGGUUUAAAGCCAGUGGUGGCAUUCUCGAUUCUGCUAGUUAUAAUGCUAUGAUAGAAGGAUUAAGUAGCGGAAAUAGGGCAAUGGAAGCAUAUGCACUUUUUGAGGAAACUCGGCAGAAAGGUUGUCAUAUUCAUACCAAGACAUGUGUUGUUCUGUUGGAUGCCUUGCACAAGGCUGAAUGCCUUGAGCAGGCAGCAAUUGUCGGUGCUGUGCUUAGGGAAACUGCAAAGUCUCAACAUGCUUCAAGGUCAUGGUAAAAUUGCAUAUCGUGCAAUUUACUGGAGGGAUUAGUAGAUGUGUUUUGCUCAGUGAGUGGUGAUGACACAAGGUGCCUUCUCAUGCAUUCAUGCUGAUGGAGCAAAUAUUGGGGGAUGGGAGAUCUUUUUUUCUUUUUUUUCCUUCCUGAAAAGUCUUCGUUCCAUCAAUUCCUUAACAUGAUUGAAGUCGCUCUCUAUAGAGGUAUAUAGAGUGUUUCGAAUUUGUCUCGGUUGUGAGAUGUCAAGGAAAUUGAGUUUGAAGAGAAUGAACCUUCCUUCCAAGAUGUAUGUCGUCCAGCCCAACCUCGGACUCUUUCUUCCCGACCUAUUUUACUCUUUGCAACACUAACUUCAGUCGCCGUUAUUCAGGAGCAUGAGUUUGUUUUGAGAACCAAUGGUUCUUGAUUGAAUACAGUGCCUUGCCAAUUAUUCCGGAUACUCGGUUCAAUUGAGUUAAUGGGCCUCUUUGGUGGAGCAGCCCCCCUCCCCUACAAAGAGGGCAAAUUUUUGGUUUGUAUGGCCGAUGGCCUAUGUUGGAUAUAGUCGUUGGGCGGGUCAUCUUCUUCUGUCAAUUUUUCUCUUUCCUCCUGCGCAUAGGAAAAUUUUGUAAGUGACACCCAAUAGCUAGUUCUAUAAUGUUAUACCCAAGCACUUUA